GUGGAUUAGAUACCCUGGUAGUCCUGGCCGUAAACGAUGGGCACUGGGUAGGGGGCUCGCCGAUGGGCUCCCUGCCGAAGGGAAACCGUGAAGUGCCCCGCCUGGGGAGUAUGGUCGCAAGGCUGAAACUCAAAGGAAUUGACGGGGGCUCACACAAGCGGUGGAGUAUGUGGCUUAAUUCGAGGCUACGCGCAAAACCUUAUCCCAGGCUUGACAUGCACGGAUUAGCCGGCGGAAACGUCGGUGAGGCCGCAAGGUACAACGUGCACAGGUGCUGCACGGCCGUCGUCAACU
rnacentral:rRNA from 1 species